UUACUCUGUUUCCGUUCAAAACGCAUAAAUAUUUUGCCUUUUACUAAAGAUUUUCGUGGAUCAAUCAAUGACUCAAUCAAUCCAAAUUUCUGUAAUUUUAGUAAUCUCAAUU
rnacentral:snRNA from 1 species